AAGAACCGAGAGACCCACUCUGGUUAAUGAAGGCAAGCGUGGGUUUACAGACCCCAGAGUAGAGGUGUAAGCAGAGAGCCAGCUCCAGGGUAGGCAGAGGGCUGUGAUUGUUCCUGAAGUUCAUCAGCAACCAUAGCAACUGUGCAUCCUGCCUGUCCUGCCCAGCGCUCUGCUCCACUGCUGGAGGGUGAUAAACACCCCAAAUGUCACCACUCCAAACAGCUCCCAUUGCCCAAAGAGGUGGUAAUAAGGAGGGACAGAGCUGAGGUGAUGCUCUGAGAUCCUCCCCACCUAGGAGAGGAGUGCUUCCCUUCCCCACUGGGCCCUGUACUUUUAGCCAUUUGUUAAAACUUACUAGAUGUGAUCUUCAUUCUCCUCUGUGCUAGCACAGAGGCUGAAAUCCAGGAUGGGUGUAGGUGCCUCCAAAGGCCUCUUCUGGCAUUUUCCAAAACCUGAGCUUCAGUACAGCAACUGCGAACUGCAGUAGUUCAAGGACAGGAGUUGUCACUAAAGCACAAACAUGGACUUGUUGGCCUGAGGCUGGUGUGCUCUCAAAACAGCUUUAAAGCAAGGCUGGCAUGAGAGUCUCUCCCUCUGAGGGAUGCACUCUGACAUGUACACAGAUCAGCCUUCAUUGCUGCAGAGGAGGUUGUGCUGACGAACCUCAUGUGGGGUUUGGGAGUUCAGAAGGGAUGUGGUGCCUAUCCCUCAGCUCAGAUCUUGAACUGUCCCUGCUUAAGGUUGUUUUGGAAAACUCCAUCUGAGAUCUCCAAGCACAGACCCCUCUGGAUGAAGUUCCUCUCCUGCACUGGGAGGCGUGGCAGGUACUGUACCUGAGAGGCCAUGCCUCCGUGUCCUGCAGCAGACAGCAGAAAGCAGGGGCAAAGAUGGGCGGGCUUGAACAUGUUCAAGGCCUGGAAGCCUGCUGCAGCACCAUCAGGUGCUUCAGGAGCCUCAAAUCAUGUGCAUGGACUUGCUUCCUAGACCUCCAGAGAGGAAGACAACUCUCUGAGAGGGAGGUGGGCGAGAACUGCUCAGAGAAAAGGAACCCUCAGCCUGCACUCAUCUGCUGUGAGAGCAUCAAGGAAUGUGGAGACAUCAUCGGAAAACCUAUCUUGAGCACAUACAUGACAACUGAAAUAACAAAUGUGGCAAGGUUUUUCAGCUGAACUUUGAAAGGAGUGUGUGGUGCUGUGAAGAGAGAAGAGUCAGUGUCAUGUGGAAGGGUUUCCCUUUCCCUCAAUAAAACAGGAAGACAGACAGGUGGGAGGCAGCCUACAAAACAGGAGGUGCAAAUGAGGACCGAAGGAAGGAUGCACUGGAUUAAAAGCACAAGUGUUGGUACCAUAUGUGUGCGUGGGGAGUGGUGUCACUGUGACUUUUCCAGGAAGAUUCCUUGAAUGACCCAGAAACCCCUCUGAGCAGAUCUUUAAAACCUUCUUCACUCAGGCCAUGAGAAACAAGGCUUAAGGCAUUCAAAACAUAUCAAGGAUUUCACAGCUGGGAGAAAGUUAUAAGCAACUGAGUCAUCCCUUGCCCAAGGAAUUCAGGGCUAGCAGGAAACUUAUUUAUUUGUUGAUUUAUUUAUACUAGAAUUCUUCUCUGCCUAUUCCUUGUUUAGCUUUGGUUUUUUAGCUUAGGUCACAUGACAUAUUCAUGAAGAAAGAACAUUUUCCCCCUUGCCUCAGAACAGCAGAGCUUGGUGUUCACCGAUGAAUGUCAUAUGUUCUAUGCUCCCUGGGGUUUCUUUACAAUGGUAUCUUAAACUGGCAAAAUAACCAGAAACACAGCAAGGGGGGCAGUACAGUGAAGGAAAUUGCAGUUCUUUUAUGCAACAAAUGUGGGUGGCACUAAGUUUCUGGCUCCCAAGCAAUCACACUGAGGUAAAAACAUGAGCAAAGGACUGCCUCACUCAGCAGACAGCCCCCAUGGGUGCUCAGGAAGCCUCCAUGAAGGGGGCUCUUUGAAGGGUAUCUGAGGAAGGGAGUUGGUCCAUAUUCCCUCAGUGGAGAAGGAGCAGCCAUGCAUCCUCCUAUAGGAGGGGAUCAAAGUAUGGCAGAGGCACAGGGGAUGAGAUGCCUCCUUUCAGAGAGAGACAGGAGAAAUCAAAGAAUAGGCAACAACUACAGAAAUGGAAAGUGCAUUUAGUGAGGCUAAGGCCAGGGCCUGUCUGGACGAACACACCAGCAGUACAAGGCCACCCUGCCAGCUGUCUCAGCAUGAAGGAAAUACUGAAUGGGGUGAGAAAGCAAUGUAUUCUCUGGACUGUAGAAAGGUCCUUACAGAGCUUACUGGAAUCUGAUAGCAUGAAGUCCAGCAUCCACAGAAUGAAUUUCACUCUGCAUUUGUCAGAGCUUUUUGUCCUGCCGUCUGCAGAAGGUAGCAGGGCUUGCACUCCUGUGGGCUUCACCAGCCCAUCCUGCCACAAGGCAGGUGGGUUCAGUGCUUCCACCCAGCAUUAACCCAAGAUUAAGUCCCCUUCUUUGUGGUUUCAAUGAAUGAGCAAGAGCGAGGGAAUAAAGGAGUUGAUUUAUGAUCGUCCAUUUUCUCCUCUGAGAUGGGCAAAGUUUCUGCCCGUAUGAACAGGAGGAGAUGUGGUGAUUAAUUCUCUGCCCUUUAAGCUCACUCAGGUCCUGCAUAGGAUUUAGGCACUGACAGUGAGUGUUUGUAGCAAGGAUCUAUUCCCAUUGCAACAGAUCCCACCACACACAUGUUUUUAGAGAGCUGUUCUCUCUACAUCCUUACAAGAAAGCAAAAUUACUCUUUCUGUAUGCACUACACUGUCAGUUCAGUCUUGGUCAGAGUCAGCUCUCAAGACCAGCCCUAUUGCACCACCUCCAUUCUUGCUCCAGCCUGACCCUAUGGAGCAGACCUUCUGUGAAUCAAGAAGUUCUGUCAGUCACUACACUGUGCAGAACCGAGACCUUGGCUGGAGAGCUGACAUUCCAGGCUAGCAGACAGAUGGACCUGUUCAGCACAAAUACUGCGUUCCCUGUAGAGCAGCCAGAGGAUAGCAAGGACUGCUGCUGGCCAGGCCAUAUCAGCUAAGGGUGGGUGAGUAACAGGCACCACAGGUUAAGAUGGUUGUUUGUCAGCAGAGCUGGGUGGCAGAGCCCAGGACAGAAGCAGCUGUCAGGGUUGCAGGCUUCAGGGGAAGUGAGUGCAGUAAGGAGGGAAGCCACUGAUCAAGCCCAAAGUGUUUAAAUAAGAGAAGGCAUCCCAGCGCCUGGUUUUUACUAGCAUAUUAGUACCUGAUAUUCAUGUUCUCUGAGAUUCAUCCAACUCACCAACCAAUGAGUAUUACUAACCUUUCCUCUUGCAGAAAAUACUAUUGAUGAACAAAAGAGAAUGUCGAGAAAGUACUUUUUAAUGGUUAUUUAUUUAUAUUGAAUGGUACUAGAGCAUUAUUAAAUAUGAUGUGAAUAGUA